rnacentral:tRNA from 1 species
AUUUAUGAAAAUAAUCAGUUUCGACCUGAUGAAAGAUUAAUUAAAAUUUUAAUCCAUAAAUU